GUUUCAGCCGCCGCGGUAAGACGGAGGGUGCUAGCGUUGUUCGGAAUCACUGGGCGUAAAGGGCGCGUAGGCGGCGCCGCAAGUCGGCUGUGAAAGCCCGGGGCUCAACCCCGGAGGUGCAGCCGAGACUGUGGUGCUGGAGGCCGGAAGAGGAGGGUGGAAUACCCAGUGUAGAGGUGAAAUUCGUAGAUAUUGGGUGGAACACCGGUGGCGAAAGCGGCUCUCUGGUCCGGACCUGACGCUGAGGCGCGAAAGCGUGGGGAGCAAACAGGAUUAGAAACCCCCGUAGUCC
rnacentral:rRNA from 1 species